AGCCCAAGGUAAACUCACAUUUUCUUAUAUAUCUCUAUGAAACCAGAUUCUAGUGUAACAAUUAGCAGAGUCUAAUAUCAGGCAAUUCGUUACUCUAAUAGCCAGAUUAUGUUAAUUUGAUUGCUAGGUCAUCAGAGUGGAGUUGCUAGACUAUUUCAUACCCAAUUUUUUUUAUUUUAAUUGCCAGAUUAUGUUAGUUCGAUUGCCAGGUUAUGUUAGUUCGACUGCCAGAUUAUCCCAUUGAGAUUGCCAGGUAGCUUCAUGCACACGAUUUGCUACUUUUAAUUGCCAGAAUAUGUUACUUUAAUUGCCAGAUUAUCCUAAUGAAGUUGCUUGGUUGCUUCAUGCACAAAAUUUGCUACUUUUAAUUGCCAGAUUAUGUUACUUUACUUGCC
rnacentral:lncRNA from 1 species